UCCCGAUAAAACCAAACCUGUCGCAAGACAGGGACGGAAAGCAACGGAUCUUCGAACCAGAAGAUGGCCGAGCUGCCGAA
rfam:Pelobacter carbinolicus DSM 2380, complete genome.